rnacentral:lncRNA from 1 species
UGAUUCUGAGGCCUCCCAGCCACGUCGAACUGGCCUAAAAUAGCAACCUGAAAUAUACUGGAUACACAAAAAAACUGUGUUUUAUGGAAUCUAAGAAGCCAUCGGUUACAGAAGAAGGAGAUGCCAGUGACAAGCAAAGUAACUCCCCCACGGCAUGGGAAGAGCCAGCAUCUGCUGCUGUCCAGGAAUACAGUCUCACUGCUGCAGUCAAGGAAGGCCAAAGAAGCCACCGGGGAAAACCAACCCAUCCCGGGGACACUGGAGGCUCACUCCUUCCUCGCUGCAUUCUGAGGCUGCUGCUUUGGAGUGAGAGAUUAUCCUCUGCUUCUCCUGAAAGAGAAGGUGAUAUGCCCAGGACCCUUCCUGAGUAAGAUGUGUUCCUCAGAGGUUAAAAAAGAAAAAAAAGCCCCAAACCCCUGAAACCAAGAAAUCAAGACAGCUCUGGUGGAGAAGCUUUUGGGAACUUGCUGGGGCAGCAAAUUAUCUGGAUUUUACAGAGGAAGGAGGACAUUGAAGAUUAGAGGUUGCAUAGCCUGACCAUGUUUACAUCUACUGCAGAUGAAGAGAUUGCUUCGCUUCAAACCUCCUGACUGCCAUGGAACCAUCUGGCACAUACACGUGUGUGGGUGGCGUCAGAAGUGGGAUCUGAAGUAGAGCUUCUAAUGACCUCUAGGAGUGCUGAGUGACCAAGUGAGGUACCUGCAGGACCCUUUUGUGUUCAGUGAUCUCUUGGAGCAGCUGGGGAUCAUGCUUGACCUCCACGGCUAUAGUGUGGUGAACAGGCUCAGUAGGGCUGCUCAGAGAAAGGGAAUCCAGAAGCCUGGCAUGCUGGCAAAAGGGUAAGAAUUUCUUACCAGUCAGACUUCUCACCUCUCUCUUUCUGUGCAAAAUGGUUGGAUGAAUGGUAAAAAUCACUGUUUAUCUCUUCUGUAAAGUUCUAAUUAAUAUGAAAAAAGGCUUCUGAGGCUAGACCUAAGCUGUAGCAAAUGCGAUGUGCUUUGUGUGUCUUCUGUAUGGUUUUGUCAUAAAGAGGAGUAUGUUAGGAUAGAACAUGGGCUUAGGACCCCAUAAGCUCACUAUUCAAGAUGGCCCAGCAAGCUGGUCAGUAACAAACUUUGUUGCAGUUACCUGAAACAAACAAAAAACUGGAUGAGGUUUCCAUCUUGUUUUAUGUCCUUGGGAAUUUGACCUCAUAACCAUGUGGCAAUACUUUCUCUUGGUCUCUGCCAUGUAAGGAACAGGAAUUGGGGGAUUCAUGUCAUAGCCCUAAAAAUUAUUGAACAGUAAAAGCCUUUGUGACCACACCACUGUACUCCAGCCUGUGUAACAGAGC